GACGAACGCUGGCGGCGUGCUUAACACAUGCCAGUCGAACGGAAAGGCCCUGCUUUUGUGGGGUGCUCGAGUGGCGAACGGGUGAGUAACACGUGAGUAACCUGCCCUUGACUUUGGGAUAACUUCAGGAAACUGGGACUAAUACCGGAUAGGAGCUCCUGCUGCAUGGUGGGGGUUGGAAAGUUUCGGCGGUUGGGGAUGGACUCGCGGCUUAUCAGCUUGUUGGUGGGGUAGUGGCUUGCCAAGGCUUUGACGGGUAGCCGGCCUGAGAGGGUGACCGGCCACAUUGGGACUGAGAUACGGCCCAGACUCCUACGGGAGGCAGCAGUGGGGAAUAUUGCACAAUGGGCGGAAGCCUGAUGCAGCAACGCCGCGUGCGGGAUGACGGCCUUCGGGUUGUAAACCGCUUUCGCCUGUGACGAAGCGUGAGUGACGGUAAUGGGUAAAGAAGCACCGGCUAACUACGUG
rnacentral:rRNA from 1 species